rnacentral:rRNA from 1 species
GAAUCUGGCGGUCUUUGUGGGCGUCCGAGUUGUAAUCUAGAGAAGCGUGUUCCGCGCUGGACCGUGUACAAGUCUCCUGGAAGGGAGCGUCAUAGAGGGUGAGAAUCCCGUCUUUGACACGGACUGCCAGUGCUAUGUGAUGCGCUCUCGACGAGUCGAGUUGUUUGUGAAUGCAGCUCAAAAUGGGUGGUAAAUUCCAUCUAAAGCUAAAUACUGGCGAGAGACCGAUAGCGAACAAGUACCGUGAGGGAAAGAUGAAAAGAACUUUGGAAAGAGAGUUAAACAGUACGUGAAAUUGCUGAAAGGGAAACGCUUGAUGUCAGUCGCGUUCGCCAGGGAUCAACCUUGCGUUUAUUGCUCGGUGCAUUUCUUGGUUGGACGGGUC